rnacentral:rRNA from 1 species
GACAUAGGUGGCGAACGUUAUCCGGAAUUAUUGGGCGUAAAGGAUGCGUAGAUGGCGUGAUGAGUUAUCAGUGGGAAAUCGGGGCUCAACCUCGCGGAAGCUGAUAAUACUAUCAUGCUUGAGUGCAGGAGAGGUUAACGGAACUCCAUGUGGAGCGGUAAAAUGUGACGAUAUAUGGAAGAACACCAAUAAGGCGAAGGCAGUUAACUAUUCUGUUGCUGACAUUGAGGCAUGAAAGCGUGGGGAGCAAAACGG